CAGUAGCCACGGGAAUACGAAGGGGGCUAGCGUUGUUCGGAAUUACUGGGCGUAAAGCGCACGUAGGCGGCUUUGUAAGUUAGAGGUGAAAGCCUGGAGCUCAACUCCAGAAUUGCCUUUAAGACUGCAUCGCUUGAAUCCGGGAGAGGUGAGUGGAAUUCCGAGUGUAGAGGUGAAAUUCGUAGAUAUUCGGAAGAACACCAGUGGCGAAGGCGGCUCACUGGACUGGUAUUGGCGCUGAGGUGCGAAAGCGUGGGGAGCAAACAGGAUUAGAUACCCCCGUAGUCCCUGUCUCUUAUAC
rnacentral:rRNA from 1 species